rnacentral:other from 1 species
AUAUGCCUGGGAUGCUCGUAUAGCUUUAGAUUUGAACCGACAUAGAAUAAAGGGGAGCUGAUGUCAAUCAGGAUAUGUUAUAUCUACUACGAGUAGGGAAACAGAAUACUUUUUGCAGGCACCCACCUGCUGAGAAGGCGGGUAUCAAAUUUAGAGUAAGCGACAUGUUGGGUUUACU